UACGUAGGUGGCAAGCGUUGUCCGGAUUUACUGGGCGUAAAGAGCGCGCAGGCGGUCGUACAAGUCGCGUGUGAAAGCCCCCGGCUCAACUGGGGAGGGUCACGCGAUACUGUUCGACUCGAAGGCAGGAGAGGGAAGCAGAAUUCCCGGUGUAGUGGUGAAAUGCGUAGAUAUCGGGAGGAAUACCAGUGGCGAAGGCGGCCAACUGGACCACAACUGACGCUGAGGCGCGAAAGCGUGGGGAGCAAACAGG
rnacentral:rRNA from 1 species